rnacentral:rRNA from 1 species
UAUCCACGGCCAUAGGACUUCUGAAAGCACCGCAUCCCGUCCGAUCUGCGCAGUUAACCGGAGUGCCGCCUAGUUAGUACCACGG